rnacentral:rRNA from 1 species
CCUACGGGAGGCAGCAGUCGAGAAUCUUUCACAAUGGGGGAAACCCUGAUGGAGCGACGCCGCGUGGAGGAUGAAGGUCUUCGGAUUGUAAACUCCUGUCAUGAAAGAACAAGCAAUGUGGGUUAAUAACCUGCAACGUUGAUAGUAUUUCAAGAGGAAGGGACGGCUAACUUCGUGCCAGCAGCCGCGGUAAUACGAAGGUCCCAAGCGUUGUUCGGAAUCACUGGGCGUAAAGAGUGCGUAGGCGGCGCGGAAAGUCAGAUGUGAAAUCCCGGGGCUCAACCUCGGAACGGCAUCCGAUACUCCCGCGCUAGAGGACUGGAGAGGAGUCUGGAAUUCACGGUGUAGCAGUGAAAUGCGUAGAUAUCGUGAGGAACACUAGUGGCGAAGGCGAGACUCUGGACAGUUCCUGACGCUGAGGCACGAAGGCCAGGGGAGCGAAGGGGAUUAGAUACCCCCGUAGUCCUGGCAGUAAACGGUGCUCGCUUGGUAUGCGCGGUUUCGACCCCGUGCGUGCCGGAGCUAACGCGUUAAGCGAGCCGCCUGGGAAGUACGGUCGCAAGAUUAAAACUCAAAGGAAUUGACG